UACAGAGGUCUCAAGCGUUGUUCGGAUUCAUUGGGCGUAAAGGGUGCGUAGGCGGUGUGGUAAGUCGAAUGUGAAAUCUCGGGAGCUCAACUCCGAAACUGCAUUCGAUACUGCCAUACUCGAGGAUUGUAGAGGAGAUCGGAAUUCACGGUGUAGCAGUGAAAUGCGUAGAUAUCGUGAGGAAGACCAGUUGCGAAAGCGGACUCUGGGCAACUCCUGACGCUGGAGG
rnacentral:rRNA from 1 species